UUGCUUCAGCAGCACAUAUUCUAAAAAUUGGAAUGAUACAGAGAAGAUUAGCAUGGCCCCUGCACAAGGAUGAUAUGCAAUAUUUGUGAAGGAUAGCAGAAGACC